AAGGUGGGGCUGAUGACUGGGGUGAAGUCGUAACAAGGUAUCCGUACCGGAAGGUGCGGAUGGAUCACCUCCUAACAGGGAGACAACACAAUGAUUUUGAUGCCUGAGUAUUUUUAUUCUUAGGCCGAAAUCCUGUCACCUUAGGUCGAUCGGUACCUCAGCUUUGAAGUUAAGAAUCAGCAGCAAUGUUGAUUGCUUGAUGGAGAUUUUCAGUUCCUAAACUUUGUCUAGGUCACACCCCAAAAGGGAUGAGACUCCUGGGCCAUUAGCUCAGGUGGUUAGAGCGCACCCCUGAUAAGGGUGAGGUCCCUGGUUCAAGUCCAGGAUGGCCCAUUCGGUGUUGGGGGUUUAGCUCAGUUGGUAGAGCGCCUGCUUUGCAAGCAGGAUGUCAGGAGUUCGAGUCUCCUAACCUCCACUGACCGAACUUUAUCCCCCCUCCAUUCAAUGGAGUUGAGCUCGAUUGGUGUGUGAUUUAGAUGUGUCCGCUGGAUGACCCCAGCUUCCUGUCAUUCCAAGUUUUAAGUUCAAAGCUUUGAAUUUGGUUGAUAAGAUGCUGGGCUCGGAUCAAAUGAUCAAGUAAUUGAUGAUUUGAUUUGAAGUUCUAGCAGAACCUUGACAACUGCAUAGGUGAAGUCUGGAAAAACAAAGCAUCUUACAGAUGCAUUGUUUUGAGUCUAAUUUUCUGAAAGGAAGAUUAGACCCAGAACAAUGAAAAUUCUUUUGAGCAAGAGCCGAGACUCUUGAAUGUUCUUUGAUUCGUGUCGAGCGAAUCAGAGUUUGAUCUUGUUUUUAGCAAUAAAAACUUGAGAAUCUGCUUUCAACGGCGGUAAGCGUUCAAGAGGUUAAUUGGUCAAGCUACAAAGGGCUC
rnacentral:misc_RNA from 1 species